ACUACCGUGGUGUAGUGGUUAACACACCCAACUUGCACCUAACGGAGGACUAAGGUUCGAUCCCUGACGACGGUU